rnacentral:rRNA from 1 species
AGAGUUUGAUCAUGGCUCAGAGCGAACGCUGGCGGCGUGCUUAACACAUGCAAGUCGAACGCGCAGCAUUCUGUAGCAAUACAGGGUGUGGGCGCGUGGCGAACGGGUGCGUAACACGUGGAUAACCUUCCUUCAGGUGGGGAAUAACCCAGUGAAAAUUGGGCUAAUACCGCAUAACAAAGCGAGAAGACAUCUUUUUGCUUUCAAAGCCGCAAGGCGCCAGAAGAGGGAUCCGCGGCCGAUUAGCUUGUUGGCGGGGUAACGGCCCACCAAGGCAUUGAUCGGUAGCCGGACUGAGAGGUUGGCCGGCCACACUGGAACUGAGACACGGUCCAGACUCCUACGGGAGGCAGCAGUGGGGAAUCUUGCACAAUGGGCGAAAGCCUGAUGCAGCAACGCCGCGUGGGGGAUGAAGCUUCUCGGAGUGUAAACCCCUUUCGACCCGGAAGAAAGCCCGCAAGGGUUUGACGGUACGGGUAUAAGAAGCCCCGGCUAACUACGUGCCAGCAGCCGCGGUAAAACGUAGGGGGCCAGCGUUGCUCGGAAUUACUGGGCGUAAAGGGUCCGUAGGCGGUGUGGCAAGUCGGUAGUGAAAUCUCUGGGCUUAACCCAGAGGCUGCUGCCGAAACUGCCGUGCUAGAGUGUGAGAGAGGCGAGUGGAAUUACGGGUGUAGCGGUGAAAUGCGUAGAUAUCCGUAGGAACAUCCGAGGCGAAAGCGGCUCGCUGGAUCACAACUGACGCUGAGGGACGAAAGCUAGGGGAGCAAACAGGAUUAGAUACCCCAGUAGUCC